rnacentral:rRNA from 1 species
ACAAGCAGCGGAGCGUGUGGUUUAAUUCGAUGCUACACGAGAACUUACCAGGUUUGACAUGCAAGUGGUAGGAAGCCGAAAGGUGACGACCCUUCGGGAGCUUGCACAGGUGCUGCAUGGCUGUCGUCAGCUCGUGUCGUGAGAUGUUCGGUUAAGUCCGCUAACGAGCGCAACCCUCGCUGUGUGUUAUAUAUGUCACACGGGACUGCCGGUCUUAAGCCGGAGGAAGGUGGGAUGAUGUCAAGUCAGCAUGGCCUUUAUAUCCUGGGCUACACACACGCUACAAUGGCCAACACAAUAGGUUGCUAAGCCGCGAGGUGGCGCCAAUCCAUAAAGUUGGUCUCAGUUCAGAUUGUAGGCUGCAACCCGCCUGCAUGAAGAUGGAGUUGCUAGUAACCGCAGGUCAGCUAUACUGCGGUGAAUACGUUCCCGGGGCUU